GCCCGGGUGGUGAAAUAGGUAGACACAAGAGACUUAAAAUCUCUCGCUUUCCGUAAGGGGCGUACCGGUUCGAUUCCGGUCUCGGGCACCA
rnacentral:tRNA from 1 species